CUACGGGUCGCACCAGUCGAGAAUCUUCCGCAAUGGGCGAAAGCCUGACGGAGCGACGCCGCGUGCGGGAUGAAGGCCUUCGGGUUGUAAACCGCUGUCAGUGGGGAGCAAAUCCGGGAAACCGGUUGAGCUAUCCGCAGAGGAAGCGCAGGCUAAGUUCGUGCCAGCAGCCGCGGUAACACGAACUGCGCGAACGUUAUUCGGAAUCAUUGGGCUUAAAGAGUUCGUAGGCGGCCUAGUAAGUCGGGUGUGAAAUCCCUCGGCUCAACCGGGGAACUGCGCCCGAUACUGUUAGGCUUGAGGGAGACAGAGGUGAGCGGAACUGAUGGUGGAGCGGUGAAAUGCGUUGAUAUCAUCAGGAACACCGGUGGCGAAAGCGGCUCACUGGGUCUCUUCUGACGCUGAGGAACGAAAGCUAGGGGAGCGAACGGGAUUAGAUACCCCUGUAGUC
rnacentral:rRNA from 1 species